rnacentral:rRNA from 1 species
UACGUAGGGGGCAAGCGUUGUCCGGAAUCAUUGGGCGUAAAGAGUGUGUAGGCGGCCAGAAAAGUCCGCUGUGAAAACUCGAGGCUCAACUUCGAGCUGUCGGUGGAAACUUUCUGGCUAGAGUCCGGAAGAGGAGAAUGGAAUUCCUGGUGUAGCGGUGAAAUGCGCAGAUAUCAGGAAGAACACCCGUGGCGAAGGCGGUUCUCUGGGCAGUAACUGACGCUGAGGAGCGAAAGCGUGGGGAGCGAACAGG